UACGUAGGUGGCAAGCAUUAUCCGGAUUUACUGGGCGUAAAGGGUGCGUAGGCGGAUUUUUAAGUGAGAUGUGAAAUACCCGGGCUCAACCUGGGGGCUGCAUUUCAAACUGGAAAUCUAGAGUGCAGGAGAGGAAAGUGGAAUUCCUAGUGUAGCGGUGAAAUGCGUAGAGAUUAGGAAGAACACCAGUGGCGAAGGCGACUUUCUGGACUGUAACUGACGCUGAGGCACGAAAGCGUGGGGAGCAAACAGG
rnacentral:rRNA from 1 species